AAUUUACUGCUCCGGCUUCCAUUUCUAGGAGGAAGAGUUUGCCAGCCCGGGAUGGAGGCUUCACCCUGGAAGACAUCUGCAUGCUGAACGAAAGGACCGUGGCAGCACCACCAGCCUUGGCAGCGACUUCUCCCUGGUCAUGGAGAGUUCCCCAGGAGCCACUGGGAGCUUCACCUAUGAGGCCGUGGAGCUGGUCCCAGCAGGAGCGCCAACUCAGGCAGCUUGAGGAAGAGCCACUCAUCCUCUCCACAGAGUGUCCUCUGGAACCGGCCACAACCCUCAGAGGACCGCUUGCCUUCCCAGCAGGGGCUGGCGGAAGCCAGGUCUUCCAGCUCCUCUUCCUCAAACCAUUCUGAUAACUUUUUCAGGAUGGGUAGCAGUCCCCUGGAGGUCCCCAAACCCAGUCAGUGGACCAUCCCCUGCCCGGAUCCUCUCUCUCCACAGACUAUGGCAGCUGGCAGA
rnacentral:lncRNA from 1 species